rnacentral:lncRNA from 10 species
AUUAGCCAGGUGUGGUGGUGUGCACCUGUAAUCCCAGCUUCUUGGGAGGCUGAGGCAGGAAAAUUGCUUGAAUCUGGGAGGCGGAGGCUGCAGUGACUGGAGAUGGCGCCACUGCACUCCAGUGUGGGCGACAGAAGAUGGAGCUGCAUCGUGUUGCCCAGGCUGGUCUCAAACCCCUGAGCUCAGGCAAUCUGCCCACCUCGGCCUCCCAAAGUGCUAGGAUUACAGGCAUGAGCCACUGUGCCUGGCCAUCGCAUACUGUAAAUAAACAUUCAGACAUGCAGAGGCUGCUAGCCUGGAGCACCUGUCAGUGACGGCAAGUCUUCCAGUCUGGACGGGCACAAAGUGGCUGUUAUGUGGUUCACUGUCAUACUGCAGCAGGAUGAGCCGCAGACAAAACUUUUCAGACACUGGAUUCAAGAAGGAAGAGGUUUUUAUUCGGCCGGGAGCGUCGGCAGACUUGCGUUUUAAGAGCUGAGCUCCUCGAAAAAGAAAUUCUUGGCCUUUUUAAAGGGUUACAACUUUAAGGGGUCCACGUGAAAGAGUCGUGAUACAUCAAGCAAGCGUGGGAAACGUGACUGGGGGCAGCAUCAUCAGCUAACAGAACAGAAAGUCUUACAAUGCUUUUUUCAUAGUGCCUGGAAUUUACAGAUAACACAAGUAGUUUAGCUCAGGGGUUGAUGUUAUUAUUAUUACUUUUUUUAACUCCUAGGGCUGGGUGGUGGUGCCAAGGUUGUCUGGCUAUUUAUCUUACUUUUGUUUUUUUUUCUAACUUUUUGCUUCUUCUCUCCUCCUGUCUUGUGAACUAGGCAAGGUGCAGGGAGGAGGGCAGCAGGGGUAGUAGCGGUCUCCUUCCGUAUCCCCCACUUUGAGAAUUUUCACUAAGUAGUGGGAGUUCUCACUUUUAUUUCUACUUUUUGAGUCUUUUUGUGAGACAGAGUGAUCGUGUUUUAUGUAAUACACUUGCUCCUUCAAAACAUGACAUCCAGAGUGGAUCAUCUGAAACUCCUUCUUCCUCUUUGAGAAGAAAAUAACAACUGAGGUCCCCAGUUCACUCUGCCAGAAGGAAAACAUUAAGCUGAAAGCGGGGCCAAGUGAGAAACUGCCUUUCCUUUUGCUCCUCAGCAGGGUGCUACAGAUAAAAGGUUAAACAUCAUUUAUGCAGCCAAAAAACACAUGAAAACAUGCUCACCAUCACUGGCCAUCAGAGAAAUGCAAAUCAAAAC